UACAGAGGGGGCAAGCGUUAUUCGGAAUUAUUGGGCGUAAAGGGCGCGUAGGCGGCUUUGCAAGUGACGGGUGAAAUCCCUCGGCUUAACCGAGGAACUGCCUGUCAGACUGCAUGGCUUGAGACCGGGAGAGGUGAGUGGAAUUCCCAGUGAUAGCGGUGAAAUGCGUAGAUAUUGGGAGGAACACCAGUGGCGAAGGCGGCUCACUGGACCGGUACUGAACGCUGAGACGGCGAAAGCGUGGGGAGCGAACAGG
rnacentral:rRNA from 1 species